UACGUAGGGUGCAAGCGUUGUCCGGAAUUAUUGGGCGUAAAGAGCUCGUAGGCGGUCUGUCGCGUCGGCUGUGAAAACCCGGGGCUCAACCCCGGGCCUGCAGUCGAUACGGGCAGACUAGAGUGCGGUAGGGGAGACUGGAAUUCCUGGUGUAGCGGUGAAAUGCGCAGAUAUCAGGAGGAACACCAGCGGCGAAGGCGGCGCUCUGGGCUGGCACUGACGCUGAGGAGCGAAAGCGUGGGGAGCGAACAGG
rnacentral:rRNA from 1 species